UACGUACCGUCCAAACGUUAUUCGGAAUUACUGGGCUUAAAGGGUACGUAGGCGGCGCUGUUAGUCGGGUGUGAAAUCCCUCGGCUCAACCGAGGAAUUGCGCCCGAUACUGCAGUGCUUGAGGGAGACAGAGGUAAGCGGAACUGAUGGUGGAGCGGUGAAAUGCGUUGAUAUCAUCAGGAACACCGGUGGCGAAAGCGGCUUACUGGGUCUCUUCGUGACG
rnacentral:rRNA from 1 species